rnacentral:misc_RNA from 1 species
AACUGAUACUACCUGCGGGAACCUGCGGAGGGAUCAUUACCGAAUCGUAACAGAAGUUGAUGCUGGCGGCCUGGCUGCAAUGUGCUCGCUUCUAAACAAUCUUUUUCACACACCCUGUGCACCUGGAGAGAGGGAACUAAUGAAGAAGGGGGGGGGGGGCUGUCCGCGCGAGCGCGCCUUCCCUUUUUCGUCUUCUUCUUCUCCUCUUCUCAUAUAACACUGCUCAUAAUGCUGAACGUG